UUCGCAAUGCCCGAAAGGGUGACGAAGCGACGCCGCGUGCGGGAAGAAGGCCUUCGGGUUGUAAACCGCUGUCGGGAGUUAGGAAGUGCAAGGAUGUUAAUAGCGUUCUUGCUUGACUAAGGCUCCGGAGGAAGCCACGGCUAACUCUGUGCCAGCAGCCGCGGUAAUACAGAGGCGGCAAGCGUUGUUCGGAAUUAUUGGGCGUAAAGAGCACGUAGGCGGCCGUGUAAGUCGGUUGUGAAAGCCUUCCGCUCAACGGAAGGACGGCAUCCGAUACUGCAUGGCUCGAGUGCGGGAGGGGAGAGUGGAACUUCUGGUGGAGCGGUGAAAUGCGUAGAUAUCAGAAGGAACACCGGCGGCGAAGGCGACUCUCUGGUCCGUAACUGACGCUGAGUGUGCGAAAGCUAGGGGAGCAAACGGGAUUAGAUACCCCGGUAGUCCUAGCCGUAAACGAUGGGCACUAAGUAGAGGGGUUUU
rnacentral:rRNA from 1 species